UACGAAGGGGGCUAGCGUUGCUCGGAAUCACUGGGCGUAAAGGGUGCGUAGGCGGGGCUUUAAGUCAGGGGUGAAAUCCUGGGGCUCAACUCCAGAACUGCCUUUGAUACUGAGGAUCUUGAGUUCGGGAGAGGUGAGUGGAACUGCGAGUGUAGAGGUGAAAUUCGUAGAUAUUCGCAAGAACACCAGUGGCGAAGGCGGCUCACUGGUCCGGUACUGACGCUGAGGUGCGAAAGCGUGGGGAGCAAACAGG
rnacentral:rRNA from 1 species